rnacentral:rRNA from 1 species
UGCCAGCAGCCGCGGUAAUACGGAGGGUGCGAGCGUUAAUCGGAAUUACUGGGCGUAAAGCGCGCGUAGGCGGCUUGUUAAGUCAGAUGUGAAAUCCCCGGGCUCAACCUGGGAACUGCAUUCGAUACUGCUUAGCUAGAGUAUGAGAGAGGGUAGUGGAAUUCCGGGUGUAGCGGUGAAAUGCGUAGAUAUCCGGAGGAACAUCAGUGGCGAAGGCGACCUCCUGGACUGAUAUUGACGCUGAGGUGCGAAAGCGUGGGGAGCAAACAGGAUUAGAUA